rnacentral:rRNA from 1 species
CAGCAGCCACGGGAAUACGGAGGGUGCGAGCGUUAAUCGGAAUUACUGGGCGUAAAGCGUACGCAGGCGGUUUGUUAAGUCAGAUGUGAAAUUCCCGAGCUUAACCUGGGAACUGCAUUUGAAACUGUCAGGCUGGAGUCUCGUAGAGGGGGGUGGAAUUCCAGGUGUAGCGGUGAAAUGCGUAGAGAUCUGGAGGAAUACCGGUGGCGAAGGCGGCCCCCUGGACAAAGACUGACGCUCAGGUGCGAAAGCGUGGGGAGCAAACAGGAUUAGAUACCCGGGUAGUCCCUGUCUCUUAUAC